rnacentral:lncRNA from 1 species
AAGUUUAUGUAACCAGCAAGGUUGUGGGUAGUAACAUUCAAACCUGGGCUCUACGCCAUUCGAGGUAAUCGUCCAAAGGGCGAUCCAGAACUCAUCCGAAGGUGGCACAGAAAUCCAACUCCAAGUACGACUACUCAUAUCCCAGACCAACUUACUAAGUUAAGUAAGCUCUGCAACACCAAGUUUAGUAGGUUUGAAGGGGCAUCUAGACUAGGUAAUCCCUAAGAGGAAUUUAUUCCAAAAAAGCUCCGAUACGCGGAAAUGCUUUGGUUAAGCUAACCAAGGUAGUUUAAUCGAAAACUUUCAAGUCAGACGCAUAGGGUCCGACAAAAAGAUUCAAAAACUGUUUCUGAUCCACAUGCUGAUGAUUUUAUGCUCCUAAAGAACUUUAUUUAAGAUACACUGGGAGCUGACAUGCAAUCCAAUUUGGAAAAAUCACUCCCAGACUACAUUGCGCGUAUUAAAGAUCUUAAUUCAGAAAUGGGGAAAAAUAUUGAACAAAUUUUUGGUAUCUUAUUGGAGGUAAUUUUUCUUUAAAUCAAUAUUACCAAGGGGGUUUUUCACUAAAAACUAUGUUCUGGGCCCACAAACUUACUCGCAUAUUGCUUUGUUGCUUAUUCUUUUCUUUAAUGUUCAUUUACUUUAGAAACAUUUAUCGGAUUGGGAAUUUCACAAGAAGAUGUAUGAGAUGGGAAAAUCUUUACACAAGCACAUAUCUAUUAUCAAAGUCUCAAAGAAUAUCAGCUUAGUACAACAAUUUGGGGGAGACAAGCCCUUACCCUUAGCGAUCAAAUAUUUGAAAACGAUUACAUAAGAGUUUUGAUUAAUGUCAUCAGGUUUUGUUGUUGGAUCAACGUUCUGCUACGCCCACUUAGUUGCAUACAACACACAACAUUACAAUGAAGGCGAGUAUUUUGAUGACGAUCCACCAUCGUCAUCUUUAGUACGCGAAGAAGAUUGAAAAGCUUGGAGAUAAAGAAUUCAUAAGAACAUCCAAUCGUCCUGAAGGGAUCAAACACCAGUACAUGUUUUACAUAAAGUGUCUGGUGAUAAGAGAAUGAGUGAUGUGGCAUCCCAAUGAAAUUCCAAACACUCAAGCCACAUGACUGCCACAUGGGCUAUGUGGGACCAUGAUUUUCGAAGGCCGAAGUAAGGUUAAUCUGAAUACUGUUACCUCAGAAGUGACGGUUAUAGACUCACCAGCUCUGAGUGGAGCUGUAUCAGAUGGAGCAGGGUGCCACUAUCACUAUACUUCACAGCAACAUGCGGAGUCUUAACAACUCUGCUGGAUGGCCAGGCUUGUUCCGCAAGACACGCGAUUGAUCCAAAUAUGGACAUAAUCAGAUCCUAUAAGUCUUGGAGUCCCUACAAUCUAGGGAUAUGCGUGCGCUGUAAGUAAUCUCAACUCCUAAGAGGAUGCAAUAUCUACUUACUAGAUAUCUUCUAGGCUUUUCCUAUCUUAGAAUGAGGAUUUUAUCCUAGAAAUGUCUCUCUCCCACGAUAUAAAUACACCUAUCUAGGGUUCAUCUACGGUAAUGCAAGCUAUACACUUGAAUUCUCUUGCCCACUGCUUGAGUCUCAAACCAUUAACUAACUUGACUGUCGGAGAGCAUUUGGCCGGCACACCCCCUAGCCUAAGAUUUGAUUACAGUUGUUUCAUUGUUUUGUAGGUUGCUUAGGAUUAUGCAAAUUUGUACUAAACCACCACUCACGGAGGUGCGUAUAUUUGGUUCCAACAAUUGAUGCUUUCAUUGAGAGCAAACCCAUAUUCCUCUCGACGAAACCACUUCACCAAUAGACAUGUCAAUCGAAUAAAGUUCAGUCAACUCCCACAUCAACCCGUCCAGUGAAAAAGGCCUACCUUCUAAUGCAUCAAUUAUCCUUAAGGUAAGAAGCAUGUUGCCUCUGAUUACAGUAGCAAUGCUUGAAGCCAUUAAUGACCCUAAGGGAAGAUGGCUACCCCUAGGGACGAAGAAGAUCCAGUUAGGAGACUUCCCCUUCUAUGAACCAGAUCUGGGAAACUCUAACCAUGAUCAUCAUUUAUGUUGAAACGUUACAAAAGAACCAAAUUAUUGCUAAAGUUAAGAGACAUUCCAACUUCGUGGACAUAGAAAAACAGACAAAGAACCUAGAAAACUUAAGUAAGACAAUGCCCUUACCCAAAUCCCUGUCCUCAGAUUUAGAAGCAUAAGUACCAUAACUCUAGAAAGAGACCUAAUAUCAUCUCCAAUCAUUCAGGCAUUGACAAAUGUUGCAAAUCUCAGAAGAAAUCUCGCUAGCGAUGGAUGAAUCCUAGGCCCAAACACAUGAGAAAGAUCCCAGAAUCUGCAAAACCUCUCUUAAAACACCUUUAGGGUACUGAAAGUAGAACCCCGCCACUUGAGGUUCAACGAACUCGAGGCUCUUGAGAUUGAGAAACAACGACACUUCUUGAAUGGAUAAUACAUGUAAGUCUCACUCGGCCACGUACUUCGAACAAGUCGAUGGUCUGGGUUUGGACGCCUCUUUUAGCAACAAUUGAAUGAGCGCUCCAUCUAGAAAAAUUAUCUCAACCAAGGUUCAAGUCAUUCUGCAGUGAUUCCAACCUUAGCUACCAUAUCAUACAUUAUAGGAAUGUAAUGGUGUUGUAUAGUAAGAUGUUUCCAUCCACUUUGGAGGGACCCGCUAUGAAAUGGUACUCAGAACUACCCACUAGGUCCAUCGAUUGUUUUGAAACUUUAGUGGACCUAUUUACGAACACCUAUUUUGUGUACCACAAUGUCCGUAAAUGCCAUGAAGCUAUGUUUUGAUUGCUUCCUCAGACUAGAGAUGAAAGCCUCAGAGCCUACUUGAUGCACUUCCGGGCAGAGUUAGCUGAGGUGGAAAAAAUCGGAUUACAGACUCGCGACAAUUUAAUUGAUUGGGAUAACAAAAGAAGAAGGAUAGCCAUUGAACCAGAUUACUCCAGGAAGACCGAUAGAAGAAUGAUGGACAGAUACACUCCCUCACCUUCUUUACGACAUGUCAUAAGAGGAAAACGCCGAGACAAGCAAGUCUUAUCGAAACCCAAAUAUUACAUUGCAUGGAACACCUCUAUCAAUAACAUCAUCCACAACAUAAAGGAUAAACUCUUCCUCCAACUCCCAAAAUCGCUCCCAA